UGCGUAGGCGGAUUAAUAAGUCAGUGGUGAAAUCUUGCAGCUUAACUGUAAAACUGCCAUUGAUACUGUGUUUCUUGAGUAUAGUUGAGGUAGGCGGAAUGUGUAAUGUAGCGGUGAAAUGCUUAGAUAUUACACAGAACACCGAUUGCGUAGGCAGCUUACUAAACUAUAACUGACGCUGAGGCACGAAAGCGUGGGGAGCGAACAGGAUUAGAUACCCUGGUAGUCC
rnacentral:rRNA from 1 species